rnacentral:rRNA from 1 species
GACGAACGCUGGCGGCGUGCUUAACACAUGCAAGUCGAGCGGUAAGGCCCUUUCGGGGGUACACGAGCGGCGAACGGGUGAGUAACACGUGGGUGACCUGCCCUCAGCUCUGGGAUAAGCCUGGGAAACCGGGUCUAAUACCGGAUAUGACUCCAUGACGCAUGUUGUGGGGUGGAAAGCCUUGUGCGGCUGAGGAUGGGCCCGCGGCCUAUCAGCUUGUUGGUGGGGUGAUGGCCUACCAAGGCGACGACGGGUAGCCGGCCCUGAGAGGGCGACCGGCCACACUGGGACUGAGACACGGCCCAGACUCCUACGGGAGGGCAGCAGUGGGGAAUCUUGCGCAAUGGGCGAAAGCCUGACGCAGCGACGCCGCGUGAGGGAUGACGGCCU